CUCUCACACCGCAGAGGGCGCUGCAGGUCACAGUAUAAAUCCUCACACCGCGCGUCACUUCCUCCUUCACACAGACAGACCAACACUGGGCAUCCCGCGCGUCUCUUUUCUAAGAAUGGAAGAUUCAGACAGUCCAGUGAACCAGCUGCAUCCUGGGAGUUUUGACCCCGGGUAAAAUGAUUUUUGUGGAAGUUUGAGCCUUUUACAUCCCACAGUCACGGUGGUGCUGCUCUGGUGCCGUCCGUCUGAUCCUUGAGCUGCUGUGAAACUGGACGGUGCAGUUCACAUGGGCUGACCCGUGCUGACCGGUCGGAGGUGCGUUUCAACAGUGGAGGAAAUGGGCGGCAGUCGCUGGAGAUUUGUGGAUCGAUUCUAAUCAUUGGUCAGAAAAGUAAAAUGUCUUCAGCUUGACCCCAUUGUCCUGAUGAUGAAUCUUACUCGACUUUAAUAGUUUUGUCCAGUCAGAACAGCAAGAAACUGAACUCAUCACAAACCAGGUCAUAUUUGGUGUUUUUGUAACUGUAUGUGAUUUGAACCUUUUGUAUUUCUGAAAUGUUAGACUCUGCACACGUGAGCCUCAUGCAGGAGGUGUGUUUGUCACAUUUGGUUUGUAAAUUCUAGUUUUCAUAUUGUCCUGUGAUCUCACUGGGUCAAAUGUAUA